GCUCCCAUUCUUUGACUCCUUUAGCUUCUUUAAAGGAUGAAGGCUCUUCAUCAUCAAUUGGCACUGCAAAAUAAAAAAGAAUACGUACUAACAAAGUUUUCAUCUCUGAAGCAGGAUGGCUUAACAAUAGUUCUACUUGGUCUUUGUGAACCAAGUAAAUCAUCUUCUUGUUGAGUUUCACGUUGUUGAGUCUCCGGACUCCCCCUUUCGCUUAGCUCCUCCACAAUUUAAUUCUCUGGAGAAACAUUUGUGAUGGGUAAGUUUGAAACUCCAGGGUUGAAUGAUUUAGAAACCUCUCCUUCCAC
rnacentral:lncRNA from 1 species